rnacentral:rRNA from 1 species
CCUACGGGUGGCAGCAGUGAGGAAUAUUGGUCAAUGGGGGCAACCCUGAACCAGCAAUGCCGCGUGCGGGAGGACGGCCUUCGGGUUGUAAACCGCUUUUAUGAGGGAGGAGCAAGGACCGUACCUCAUGAACAAGUCACGGCUAACUACGUGCCAGCAGCCGCGGUAAUACGUAGGUGGCGAACGUUAUCCGGAAUUACUGGGCGUAAAGGGUCCGCAGGCGGGUGUUUAAGUCUGACGUGAAAGCUCCCGGCUCAACUGGGAGAGGACGUUGGAAACUGGACGCCUUGAAUCUGACAGAGGUCGGUGGAAUUCCCGGUGUAGUGGUGGAAUGCGUAGAGAUCGGGAGGAACCUCGAAAGCGAAGGCAACCGGCUAGGUCGAGAUUGACGCUGAGGGACGAGAGCGUGGGGAGCGAACAGGAUUAGAUACCCUUGUAGU